GGACGAACGCUGGCGGCGUGCCUAAUACAUGCAAGUCGAGCGGAAUGAUGGGAGCUUGCUCCCUGAUUUCAGCGGCGGACGGGUGAGUAACACGUGGGCAACCUGCCCUGCAGAUGGGGAUAACUCCGGGAAACCGGGGCUAAUACCGAAUAAUCGGUUCUUCCGCAUGGAAGAACUCUGAAAGACGGUUUCGGCUGUCACUGCAGGAUGGGCCCGCGGCGCAUUAGCUAGUUGGUGGGGUAAUGGCCUACCAAGGCGACGAUGCGUAGCCGACCUGAGAGGGUGAUCGGCCACACUGGGACUGAGACACGGCCCAGACUCCUACGGGAGGCAGCAGUAGGGAAUCUUCCACAAUGGACGAAAGUCUGAUGGAGCAACGCCGCGUGAGCGAAGAAGGUUUUCGGAUCGUAAAGCUCUGUUGCGAGGGAAGAACAAGURCGGGAGUAACUGCCCGUACCAUGACGGUACCUCGUCAGAAAGCCACGGCUAACUACGU
rnacentral:rRNA from 1 species